CAGUACAGAAGUAAAAUGAACUCCUACAUUACUUUGGCUUGCCUGUUGGCCGUUGCGGCAACGUCUCAUGCCUACGGCCUUGGGGGAUACGUUCCAGCACCAAUAAUAUCAGCACCGAUAAUUGCGCCAGCUGCGUAUUCCUACUCCAACUUGUACAAGGCAGCCCCGAUUCCCG